UGGGAUAUCUUGGAAGGUUUCUCGGUUUUUAUGGGCGGAAAGCUUCCAUUUUGUCCCUGA
rnacentral:pre_miRNA from 1 species